AAAAAACUACAUAUACAAAAGAAAGUCCCUUUAAAAAACAAGUCCAAAGAGCACCUGACGCGUUUCGGCAAUAAGCCUCGGAUGAAGGCUUAUUGCCGAAACGCGUCAGGUGCUCUUUGGACUUGUUUUUUAAAGGGACUUUCUUUUGUAUAUGUAG